AUUGAAAUCACCUGGAGAUCUUGUUAAUGUAUAGAUUCUGAUUCUGAGUUUCUAACAAGCUCCUAAGGGAUAUAAAU
rnacentral:pre_miRNA from 1 species